UUGAACGCUGGCGGCAGGCCUAACACAUGCAAGUCGAGCGCGAAAGGUUUUCGGACUGAGUAAAGCGGCGGACGGGUGAGUAACGCGUGGGAAUCUGCCCAGUAGUGGGGGACAACAGCCGGAAACGGCUGCUAAUACCGCAUACGCCCUACGGGGGAAAGGGGGGGAUCUUCGGAGCACUGGCUUGUGGAGGAGCCCGCGUCGGAUUAGCUAGUUGGUAGGGUAAAGGCCUACCAAGGCUACGAUCCGUAACUGGUCCGAGAGGACGAUCGGGCACACUGGAACUGGGACACGUUCCAGACUCCUACGGGAGGCAGCAGUGGGGAAUAUUGGACAAUGGGAGCAACCCUGAUCCAGCCAUGCCGCGUGUGUGAAGAAGGCCUUAGGGUUGUAAAGCUCUUUCAGUGGGGAGAAAGGUUUGUCACCUAAUACGUGAUGAAAUUGAUGUUACCCACAGAGGAAGCACCGGCUAACUCCGUGCCAGCCGCCGCGGUAA
rnacentral:rRNA from 1 species